rnacentral:ribozyme from 11 species
AAUGUCAGGGCUGCGUAGGUCAUGCCUGCAAACGCCAGGGCCGCGUGACCCGAUGGAAACGACA